rnacentral:rRNA from 1 species
GACGAACGCUGGCGGCGCGCUUAACACAUGCAAGUCGAGCGAGAACCAGUCCUUCGGGACUGGGGAAAGCGGCGAACGGGUGAGUAACACGUGGGUAAUCUGCCCUCGGCACUGGGAUAGCCCGGGGAAACCCGGAUUAAUACCGGAUAGCCUUUCGAGCCUUCGGGCUCGUCAGAAAAGGUGGCUUCGGCUUCCGGCUGAGGAUGAGCCCGCGGCGGAUUAGCUUGUUGGUGGGGUAAUGGCCUCCCAAGGCGACGAUCCGUAGCUGGUCUGAGAGGACGAUCAGCCACACUGGGACUGAGACACGGCCCAGACUCCUACGGGAGGCAGCAGUGGGGAAUCUUGCGCAAGGGGCGAAAGCCUGACGCAGCGACGCCGCGUGCGGGAAGAAGGCCCUCGGGUUGUAUACCGCUUUCAGGAGGGACGAAGCCACUCGGGUUAAUAGCCCAGAGGGUGACGGUACCUCCAGAAGAAGCCCCGGCUAACUACGUGCCAGCCGCCGCAGUAA